UAAAACCUGAGAGUUUGAUCCUGGCUCAGAACGAACGCUGGCGGCAGGCCUAACACAUGCAAGUCGAACGGAUCCUUCGGGAUUAGUGGC
rnacentral:rRNA from 1 species